GAUGAACGCUGACAGAAUGCUUAACACGUGCAAGUCAACUUGAAUUUGGGUUUUUAACUUAGAUUUGGGUGGCGGACGGGUGAGUAACGCGUAAAGAACUUGCCUCACAGCUAGGGACAACAUUUAGAAAUGAAUGCUAAUACCUGAUAUUAUGAUUUUAAGGCAUCUUAGAAUUAUGAAAGCUAUAAGCACUGUGAGAGAGCUUUGCGUCCCAUUAGCUAGUUGGAGAGGUAACAGCUCACCAAGGCGAUGAUGGGUAGCCGGCCUGAGAGGGUGAACGGCCACAAGGGGACUGAGACACGGCCCUUACUCCUACGGGAGGCAGCAGUGGGGAAUAUUGGACAAUGGACUGAGAGUCUGAUCCAGCAAUUCUGUGUGCACGAUGAAGUUUUUCGGAAUGUAAAGUGCUUUCAGUUGGGAAGAAAAAAAUGACGGUACCAACAGAAGAAGUGACGGCUAAAUACGUGCCAGCAGCCGCGGUAAUACGUAUGUCACGAGCGUUAUCCGGAUUUAUUGGGCGUAAAGCGCGUCUAGGUGGUUAUGUAAGUCUGAUGUGAAAAUGCAGGGCUCAACUCUGUAUUGCGUUGGAAACUGUGUAACUAGAGUACUGGAGAGGUAAGCGGAACUACAAGUGUAGAGGUGAAAUUCGUAGAUAUUUGUAGGAAUGCCGAUGGGGAAGCCAGCUUACUGGACAGAUACUGACGCUAAAGCGCGAAAGCGUGGGUAGCAAACAGG
rnacentral:rRNA from 1 species